rnacentral:rRNA from 1 species
AUUGAACGCUGGCGGCAGGCCUAACACAUGCAAGUCGAGCGAGCGGCGGACGGGUGAGUAAUGUCUGGGAAACUGCCUGAUGGAGGGGGAUAACUACUGGAAACGGUAGCUAAUACCGCAUACCAUCAGAUGUGCCCAGAUGGGAUUAGCUAGUAGGUGGGGUAACGGCUCACCUAGGCGACGAACCCUAGCUGGUCUGAGAGGAGGACCAGCAACACUGGCACUGAUCCAGGGUCCAGACUCCUACGUGAGGCAGCAGUGGGUAAUAUUGCACAAUGGGCUCAAGCCUGAUGCAGCCAUGCCGCGUGUGUGACGAAGGCCUUCGGGUUUUAAAGCACUUUCAGCGGGGAGGCGUUACCCGCAGAAGAAGCACCGGCUAACUCCGUGCCAGCAGCCGCGGUAAUAC